rnacentral:misc_RNA from 1 species
GCCAGACUGGGUGAGUUACUGUUGGCAAAUGGGAAGGAUGGAUUAACAUCAACUGUUGCCACAUAGUCAUUCAACCAAGCAGGACGUAUAUGUGUGCGUGAGCUUCUUCUCAUGAUUGGAGCUGGUUCUGAAGCAGUGGUAUUUUUUGUUUGGGGAACAUUGAGCUCAUAGUCAGUGGAGGUGUUAGGUAUCUCAUCUUCUGAUAUUGGGUAAGGAGAGGGUGUUGAUGCUGGUGUUUGGUGGAUUAAUUUGUAGGGGAG